UCAGCCUGCUGUUCCUUGGACUGGUCUUUGUAACACAUUUAGAUCAAAACUGCCUUGGAAAAGUCAAAUCGGAGUCUGAGAUUUGCUAUUUGGAACUUCCUCUGUGGCAUCUAAGGGUCUCUACACCCACUCUGGAUUGGACAUGUUAAGUAAGGCAUGAGAUGUAUUUUCUCUUAGUUACUCCAGUUAAUGAGUGUGUUAGAAAUGCAGAAGGAUGGAUGGAUGGAUGGAUGGAUGGAUGGAUGGAUGGAUGGAUGGAUGGAUGGAUGGAUGGAUUUAUCAUCUUACAAAGUCUCUGUCAGAUCAGUUAAUUAUUCCCAACCUUUGUGGUAGUUACUGUCAUCUAGAAGUGAGGUGAGCGGCGUCUUUUUGGAUGGCCAGAAUGAUAUAGAACACAAUUUCCCCUGAAGAAAUAGCUUGCAUACCUUAUAUAAUGAAUGAGCUCAUUUUGCCUGUGUUUGCCAGAAACAAUAAAAGUUAGAAAAUGUCCCAGUAAUUAAAAUAAAGUGUUACCCAGAUUUAUGGUGAGAAAUGUGAAAUGUCAGGCAAUUGAGUGCAGCUCUGCACUCACAAAUAAGCUUCACAUUCGUUAGAACAGGUUGCAUUCAUUACUAAGAACAGUGUGGGUCCAGUGCUAGCCCCAGAAGGCAAUGAAUGGUUUCUCCUGCUCAGGGAAAGAAAGCAGAGGGGAGGGAAGGAUGCCAGCUGGCAUGUUAGCUGAUGGAUUUUAGGUCCUAGUGGUAAUGCUGCAGUGUGCACGGCACAGGCAUGAUCAUUGCUUCAGCAUGGGCUUUGGAUUACACCAUGGGUAAUAGGAAGAAGAGAGGGCCAUUCUCAGGCCUGCCACAUGCGGGAAAGAAAUCCAGCAGAAAGUUUUUGAAAGGGUGGAUAUGAAAAAGGGAAAUCAAGCAAGGCCAGCCUUUCCUGCUACCCCUCAGUCAUUGUUUGUUUUUUAAUGCAAAUAUUGUACCUACAGCCCUAUGAACAUGAGUUCAUUGCUCUCUUAAAAUAAACCCCGCUUAUUUCAAAGACCAUUUCUUUUGUCAAAUGCCACACAACACACACAGAUCCAACCGAAUUCUUUUUGGUAGUAUGCACGUAGAUGUAGGGAAAAUUGAAAGUGUAAGACUGUUGGAAAUAGAAGUGAAACUCACUAAAAGUCUACAGUGCAAGCUCAUUUGAACAGUUAUCUUGCAAGUCAUGCUCAAACACCACAACUGGCUUUCUGCUCUGUGCAGCUAGAAAGGGGUAGGUCGCUGAAAUGUCCUGCUGUAAUACUGAGAACUGCUUGCUGCUUUAACAUCUCCUUUCACAGCCCUUUAUACUUCUCUUUUCUGAGAUAGCCAACUAAAAAAAUGAAGAAAUUUGAAAUGAAAAUGCUUUAUGUAACAACUAGUCUGUCUAGAACCUAAAUUGUGUCUUCCUGAAAAAGAGAAUGGGGCAAUGUUAAAUCACAGACACUUGUGUUGGAUUCUCUUCUCACAUAAAUUUAAUUUGUGAAUAGUUCUAGGAAUAUCAAUGGAGGUUUGUUAGAAAAAAGUAGUCAUUAAGUUAAAUCACUUGAUUUGAAUUUGAUAAAAGAUUUAGGUUCUGAUUAAAAAUCUGUGGGAUGGCCUUAAGCCAAUUGUACAUUAUCUCUGUUCCUCAGUUCCACAUCUGUAAAAUGACAGUAUGAACGUUUCUUUUUUAUUACAUGCUUGUAAGAAAAAUCACAUUAUGCUAAUGAGGUGUGCAUAUGCUUUAAUCACAGGUUCAUUCAGAGAGUCCAUAAAUAAAACAAAUAUGAGGUCAACACUUGAGAAUUUGGGAGAGAGGUGUAGAAAUUCCAGAUUUUAGGACAGUAUGUUCUGAAUUAUUGAAGUGAUGAUGCAAGCAUUUAUGCCCAUAGAGUGCCUAGUGCUGUACGUGUUAUUUAUAGGAGACCCGGGCCUUGAAAAUAAAUUGCAGGUUCAUGUGUCAGAUCAGCAGAUAGAGGAUCACUUUUCAACAGACGUUAGAUAUCAUAAAUUUCAAGCAGACUAUGGGGGCUCAUUCCCCACUGUAGUUUUGGAUUUUAAACUGUUGGAAAACACAUACCAAAGAACACAAGAAAAUAGACUACAAUCAGAAGCAGUUGUGAUAACCCUGCUUGCACAUAAUAAGGUCUCACAAAGUCUUUCUAAGAAAGGUGCACUUUAGCAUAUAAACAUUAUUUGCAAACUAUGGAUACUGUGAUGAUGAGAAAUUAUCUUAAAGAUGGAAGAACUUACAAAAAGAUAAGCAGAUGCUUGAAGUAUGUGAUAGGCUAUUGGGAGGAAAUGUUUGGCCUUAAAGUUGCAUGUGGGUUUCAGGUGAGAUGGAAAUGAAGCAUUAUUAAUUGUACCAUUGUGCAAGUUGGUACACGCAGCUGUAGAACCCAGCUCUGUUACCCUUUUACUCAUCACAGCAGCUGCAGCAGAUCAAAUCAGUAUUCCCACAGCUUCUCUGCAUGAUCGAGUGCAUGUAGGAGGGCAAGAGAGGGGAGUUAACCUACUUUGUUUCGGUGAAGCUCAAACCUGAGGCUUUGCUAAUCAGCAGCUCCUGUAGUGCAAGAGAGAAGAGAAGCAAAACCCAGGAGAGGAGCAGCAUUCUGGGUGCAAGUCAUGAAUGCCAGAAGGGAGAAAGGGUUAGCAGCUGAGGGAGUAGGAUCUCUGUCUAGAAGUUGCCCCUUCUGGAGACUUUACUGACCUUCAUAAAAGGUUUGGAAGCUGCUCCCCUAAUCAGUUACCAUCUGAGUAGAGCAGACAUAGAAACUGAGGCACGCAGGAACUGAGCAACUUGCCCAAGGCAACAGGAAGUCUGCAGGAGACCUGGGAAUGGACCCCAGAUGUCCUGAGUUCAGUCUUAACCACCAGACCAUCCUUCCUGUCCUUUUGGUAGUCCUCUCUGCUUCAGAAAUUCCAUUUAUGGAUUACACCCAUUAAUUAAUCACUCACCUCUUGCCUGAUCCAGUAAUUUACUUGCACUAAAGAGUCAUUUGGAAAGAAAAAACCAACAACCAAGCACCUAACAUGAGCUGCAGUUACUACUGUCCUUCCUGAAGAGUAAAGGAGGAGUGCAAGAAAACCCAGCAUCCAGAUCUAAGAGGCUUUUCCAUUACUAAGCAGACUUCCUGCAAACAAUAAUUUUACUCUUAACCAAAUUGGAUUCCCUAUACUUGAUGUUUGAGUCUAUCUGCAUAUUUAUAUUUCAGUGGGUUUAAAACAACAAAAAAAGACUGAAACAGAAUUAAAUCCAUGUAGAGCACGAAUCUGGUGCUGUCUGCUGCUCCGGGUACCUCUGAUAGAAACCCGUUUGGAUGCUGCAUCCCUAAUGGGGCAUCUGCUGCUGUGUGCAAACACCAACCUGCCGUUCUCUGCACUUGGGUGUGCUGACACAGCUGAUGGGUGCGUGGUUCCUUCCCUUUCGGUGCUGCUCUGCGAUCCCUGGGGCUGGCACUGGGCUGCUGCGUGCGGCGGUGCUGGGCUCGGAGCUGUGACGCCUUUUUCCCUCUGAAUGGGACUUCAGAGCACAGAAACACAAAUAGUGUCUGAGCUCGGUGCGAUCCCUGCUCGCAUCGGUCCUGGCUGAACCUCAGCCUGUUUGGUUUGGUGAGGUUUUUUGUUUGCUCUUGUAAUUAUUUGGAAGACCAUGGCUUUGCUUUACUCUUUUAUUUUACCGGGCUUUAUCCUCAUUCGUACCACGGUGGUUGGCUCUGCCAGAAGAGACCAGGCGCUCGCUGCACCACGAAGCACGGCAAGGCGCUACGAGCAGUGCGUCAAGUCGCUCUCGCAUCAGAAAUAUCUUAGUUGUGUGUAUGUGGAACUUUCCAGCCUUUUCUUUUUGCGAGAUUCGUUGGUAACAGAGCUAAGCUGUCGGGCUUGUGUUUUACGUCUGUGUUUCAGCGUCAGUCGGAGCGCUCCAGCCGUUCCGCUCACUCGGGCCGUGGAAGAGAAGACGAGCGGGCGCCGAGCUCGUGCGCUGGGGCGGCGCUCCGGCUGCGUGCCGCGGCUGCCACCAGGGGGCGCCGUUCCCUGCGCGGAGCCGCGGCUUCGGCCCGACC